UUAUGGUAACACAUAUACUAAAUAAAAUUGGAAAAAUACAAAGAAGAUUAGCAUUUCCCUGGCAUGAGGGUGACUUGCAAGUUUAUGAAACAUUUUGUAUUUUU